GACAGGAUGGCCGAGUGGUUAAGGCGCAGGCCUGCUAUUACCUAGGUAAUCCACAAAUAAACUCUGGGUUUCACGAAUAGUAAGCCUGUGGGUUCGCCCGCGUGGGUUCGAAUCCCACUCCUGUCG
rnacentral:tRNA from 1 species